GCGUUCUGGCUCUGCCUCUGCUGCGGGACUGUUCCUGGACCACGCGGGCCGUUGUUUCCUUCCCAGAGCAGGCACAGAGUCCUUGAGAAGGGCAGUCUCUGAACGAGGGAGCCAAGAACUCAAGUCGGACAUAUGAUUGGCAGCACAUCUAGCCCCAACAGCACACAAUCCUUCAAGAUGGAAUUCCGUUGGGACCAAGGGGACCAGGAAGGAAGGUCAGAGUGAGGAGCUGUCUGAGUGUUUAAGAUCACACAGUAACAUCCUGUUUGAUGGCUUCAGAAAUCCUUCAUGAGCUGGGAGACAGCGCCCAAGGUUAC
rnacentral:lncRNA from 1 species